CGAUGGGAAACGGGUUAAUAUUCCCGUACUUGGUGUUACUGCGAAGGGGGGACGGAGAAGGCUAUGUUGGCCGGGCGACGGUUGUCCCGGUUUAAGCGUGUAGGUGUGUGUUCCAGGUAAAUCCGGUUCACUUUAACACUGAGGCGUGACGACGAGGCACUACGGUGCUGAAGCAACAAAUGCCCUGCUUCCAGGAAAAGCCUCUAAGCAUCAGGUAACAUCAAAUCGUACCCCAAACCGACACAGGUGGUCAGGUAGAGAAUACCAAGGCGCUUGAGAGAACUCGGGUGAAGGAACUAGGCAAAAUGGUGCCGUAACUUCGGGAGAAGGCACGCUGACACGUAGGUGAAGUGAUUUACUCAUGGAGCUGAAGUCAGUCGAAGAUACCAGCUGGCUGCAACUGUUUAUUAAAAACACAGCACUGUGCAAACACGAAAGUGGACGUAUACGGUGUGACGCCUGCCCGGUGCCGGAAGGUUAAUUGAUGGGGUCAGCGCAAGCGAAGCUCCUGAUCGAAGCCCCGGUAAACGGCGGCCGUAACUAUAACGGUCCUAAGGUAGCGAAAUUCCUUGUCGGGUAAGUUCCGACCUGCACGAAUGGCGUAAUGAUGGCCAGGCUGUCUCCACCCGAGACUCAGUGAAAUUGAACUCGCUGUGAAGAUGCAGUGUACCCGCGGCAAGACGGAAAGACCCCGUGAACCUUUACUAUAGCUUGACACUGAACAUUGAGCCUUGAUGUGUAGGAUAGGUGGGAGGCUUUGAAGUGUGGACGCCAGUCUGCAUGGAGCCGACCUUGAAAUACCACCCUUUAAUGUUUGAUGUUCUAACGUGGACCCGUUACCCGGGUUGCGGACAGUGUCUGGUGGGUAGUUUGACUGGGGCGGUCUCCUCCUAAAGAGUAACGGAGGAGCACGAAGGUUGGCUAAUCCUGGUCGGACAUCAGGAGGUUAGUGCAAUGGCAUAAGCCAGCUUGACUGCGAGCGUGACGGCGCGAGCAGGUGCGAAAGCAGGUCAUAGUGAUCCGGUGGUUCUGAAUGGAAGGGCCAUCGCUCAACGGAUAAAAGGUACUCCGGGGAUAACAGGCUGAUACCGCCCAAGAGUUCAUAUCGACGGCGGUGUUUGGCACCUCGAUGUCGGCUCAUCACAUCCUGGGGCUGAAGUAGGUCCCAAGGGUAUGGCUGUUCGCCAUUUAAAGUGGUACGCGAGCUGGGUUUAGAACGUCGUGAGACAGUUCGGUCCCUAUCUGCCGUGGGCGCUGGAGAACUGAGGGGGGCUGCUCCUAGUACGAGAGGACCGGAGUGGACGCAUCACUGGUGUUCGGGUUGUCAUGCCAAUGGCACUGCCCGGUAGCUAAAUGCGGAAGAGAUAAGUGCUGAAAGCAUCUAAGCACGAAACUUGCCCCGA
rnacentral:rRNA from 1 species